AAGAAAGUGAUCUAAAUUUAAGAUAGUAGACUCAUGAUCUGCAAAUGCUAACGCCUUUCUUA
rnacentral:tRNA from 1 species